rnacentral:tRNA from 1 species
GCCUGCAUAGCUCAGCUGGUAGAGCAUUUGCUUCGUAAGCAAAAGGUCGGGAGUUCAAACCUCUCUGCAGGCU